rnacentral:tRNA from 1 species
ACGGACAUAGUUCAAUUGGUAGAAUAGCGGUCUCCAAAACCGUUGGUUGUGGGUUCGAGUCCUACUGUCCGUGCCA